rnacentral:rRNA from 1 species
AGGACGAACGCUGGCGGCGUGCUUAACACAUGCAAGUCGAGCGGUAAGGCCCUUUCGGGGGUACACGAGCGGCGAACGGGUGAGUAACACGUGGGUGACCUGCCCCCUACACUGGGAUAAGCCUGGGAAACUGGGUCUAAUACCGGAUAUGACUCAAGGCUGCAUGGUUUUGGGUGGAAAGCUUUUGUGGUGGGGGAUGGGCCCGCGGCCUAUCAGCUUGUUGGUGGGGUGAUGGCCUACCAAGGCUUCGACGGGUA